CUUCUGUCACCCCCCACCCACAACACACACAUACAAACCACACACACACACAGCAGCUAACUAAGAACAGCGCCCUAAUUUUGUCAAUUUUAUGGAAUUUUUCUUAAGGAAUCCCAUCACCAUCUUAUACCUACUACAGUAAUGUAUUAGUUAUGAGGGUGGAGCCCUCAUGAAUGGCAUUAGUGUCCUUAUAAAAGGGACUGCAGAGAGUUCUCUUUCCACCAUGUGAGGAUACAACAAAAAGUUGGCAGUGUAUAACUCAGGAGAGGAACCUGC
rnacentral:lncRNA from 10 species